CCCCUAAUAAUUUUCGUUGCCCUCUGCUGGACUCUCUCCAAUUUAUCCACAUCCUUUCUGUAGUGGGGGACCCAAAACUGGAUGCAAUACUACAGAUGUGGCCUCACCAGUGCCGAAUAGAGGGAAGUAAUCACUUCUCUCAAUGUGCUGGCAGUGCUCCUACUAAUACAGCCUUUGUUGGCAACAAGAGCACACUGCUGACUCAUAUCCAGCUUCUCGU